rnacentral:rRNA from 1 species
GACGAACGCUGGCGGUGUGCUUAACACAUGCAAGUCGAACGGAAAGGCCCUGCUUUUGGGCGGUGCUCGAGUGGCGACCUGGUAAUUAACACGUGAGUACCCUGCCCUCAACUUUGGGAUAACUUCAUGAAACUGGUGCUAAUACCGGAUAGAAGCUCCUGCUGCAUGGUGGGUGGUGGAAAGUUUCGGCGGUUGGGGAUGGACUCGCGGCUUAGCAGCUGGUUGGUGGGGUAGUGGCUUACCAGGGCUGUGACGGGUAGCCGGCCUGAGAGGGUGACCGGCCACACUGGGACAGAGAUACGGCCCAGAGUCCUACGGGAGGCAGCAGUGGGGAAUAUUGCACAAUGGGCGGAAGACUGAUGCAGCAAAGCAGCGUGCGGGAUGACGGCCCUCGGGUUGUAAACCGCUUUCGCCUGUGACGAAGCGUGAGUGACGGUAAUGGGUAAAGAAGCACCGGCUAACUACGUG